UCCAAAUUUGUCGGACAUCUCAUUCUGUGCUGGAAACACUGGGAGGCAGGAAGUUUGAAAAAAACGGCCACUCCCGCCCGCAAUGUCUCGGUCGUGGGUUCGUUAUGCCAGUUGUUCAAGCCGUUCUGUACAUUUAUACUGGAUAUUAACUGGAGUCAUUUAGCUGUGCUGAUGCUGUUUGCCGUGUGUUUUGCAUCAGUGCUUCGUGACAUCGGCUGUAUUGCGUGUUUUCGCCGACGGCUUACUACCACAAUGGCGGGAUCUGCGUUCGCCGCCUUCGUGUCUCGGUGCGUCUUUGUACGUCGCACGUUCGGAUAACACUUUUUCCGACGGCUGGACAUCCUUCUUGUACCUUGGCGCUAGCUGGAUGACGGGACCUCAUCAUGAUCAGUGUAUUGCUUUCCUAUGUCUACAAGAACCGUCACGGGUGGCCUGUGACAGCAAGCUUUUGUGGGCAGCCAGUGCUCUCCUACGAAGGCUGGCCUACUCUGGCAGCGGCGGCAAUCAUCUUCAAG